AUUUUGUUUACUCUUAUUUGUUUGUGUUUAUACAUUAUAUUCUUUUUAUGUUAUCAAAUUAUUUUUAUCAAUUAUUUCAAAAUUUAACUUAAAAAAGAGGAAACACAUACCAACCAUAGUGUUGUCUCCUAUGGUGCAAAAGAAAAAUAUCUAUAAUGAUAUUAUAGUUUAUUCAUCAGACAACCAUUUAUUCCAUAUAUUGCACUCUCGAAAAAUUCUAUAUAAUUCCACGAGUAAAUUAAGCAGUGUUUAUUAUUUUAUAUUUUACAUCGGUUUUCUUUUAUUCGCUAUAGAAAACGAACUAUAA